ensembl:lncRNA
GCUGUGAAAUGGCGCUGCUCGUCCUCCUGUUCUUCUUCCAUCUGAUUCUGGACAUUAACUCUCAAUAUGUUCCUCAGCCCCGGCUGUCCGUGACUCCUGAAGUUCUCACAGAGAGAGGAUCAGUGCAGAUUCACUGUCAUGUUCCAGACAUUGUUAAAGUGCGUCAGUGUUAUUUCUACACAGAGAGAGAGAAAAGAAAUCUAAAACUCUCUCCAUCAUGUCAGCUCUCAGUCAAUGGUUCUGAACUGAUCAGGUGGACAGGACGAAGUUCUCCUGGAACACUUCAUAUUACUUGUUUCUACACUGUGGAUAACUCUGUUCGUACUCCUUCUCCUCACUCUCUCCCAGCUCCAGUCACAGUGCUGAAUCAGAAACCGAGACUAAGCGUCAGUCAUGAUGGUCAGUUUGAUGUAUUCAGAUUUGUGUGUGAAAUAUCAGGGUCAGAGUCAGUAACUGCUGAUUUUAGCUGUAAUCUCUACACUGGAGAAAAUCCUCAGCUUUUCCUAAUCCAAAGAUCUCAAAAGAGAAAAUCUGUGAAGGUUUGUAGUUUUACAGCACAGAGAGACGCUGUGUUUAAUCGUCUGCAGUCAGUAAAGAGUCG